CCUACGGGAGGCAACAGUGGGGAAUAUUGGGCAAUGGGCGCAAGCCUGACCCAGCAACGCCGCGUGAAGGAAGAAGGCUCUCGGGUUGUAAACUUCUUUUAAGAGGGAAGAGAAGAAGACGGUACCUCUUGAAUAAGCCACGGCUACCUACGUGCCAGCAGCCGCGGUAAUACGUAGGUGGCAAGCGUUGUACGGAUUUACUGGGUGUAAAGGGCGUGCAGCCGGGAAGACAAGUCAGAUGUGAAAUCCCGGGGCUCAACCGCGGGACUGCAUUUGAAACUGUUUGUCUUGAGUACCGGAGAGGUCAGCGGAAUUCCUUGUGUAGCGGUGAAAUGCGUAGAUAUAAGGAGGAACACCAGUGGCGAAGGCGGAUGACUGGACGGCAACUGACGGUGAGGCGCGAAAGCGUGGGGAGCAAACAGGAUUAGAUACCCCAGUAGUC
rnacentral:rRNA from 1 species